CCGGACUUCGUGAGUCCUCUACCCGCUCACCGUUUCACCAUCUGUGACAUGAGUGAACUCUGACCUCCGGAAGUGACAUAGGAAAAGAAACUAGCCUUCACCGCCCCCUGCUGGAGAAGAUCAUGAACUUCAUUCAAACUUCAGUUGAGGACUUCCAGCUAAUGAUGCUCUGACGCCAUCUUGGGGCCAUGAUGUUGUCUGCGGCCAUGUCCUCUUGUUGUUCCAUUUGAGUCUCAUCAGCCAAAAGACUCCAAAAUUGAUGAAACACCAAGAAGGUAUUACUGUAGAUUCUCCACUUUGGGUUAUUUCUUCUUAUUUUUUCUGUUUUUAAACCAAAAAGUCAAAGAACAAAGUGGAUUGCUGCAGGGUGUGAAGAACUGGAGUUCUGGCCUGAACUCAAACAUCUGCAUUUUGUUGUAUCUGGUUGGAUCAUUCCUGGACCAGGAAGUUUGAUGGAAUGUCAGUUGAGGUGGAAGGAGAAUCUCAGCAGUUUAAAGUGAUGCUGAUCAAAGCUGGACUCAGAUUAUCAAUCUAUAGACCACCCAGAGGACACAGACAUCACAUGACCCAAAGGUCAACACAUCCAGAAAGUAACUUCACACACAAGUUUGGAAUCUCUCAAAAGAACAAACGUGCUGCCUCCCUGUCCGGCUUGUUCCUGGCUCUCCUUCUUCCACGCGCUCUGAAAGCUCCAGACUGACAGUUGUCACCAUCUUGGACCAGAGAAAACACCAGCAGAGGAAACGGACCUGCAGUAACUUGGAUUGUAUCUCCUCUUUGGGAACUUAUGAAGUUGACUGUCUAAAAGUGUGAUAGUAAACCAGGUAAUGUUUAAGGUAAGGAUUAUAAUAAUUAAUAAAACGGCUGCAGAGAACCCCAUGUUAUUGUUCAGCUGAGGUCCUCCACUGGUUCCAGCAUCUUUCCCAUCAGAAUUUCUAGGAUGUUCUGCACUUCCUCCUCCAAGUCAAAAGCUGCACAGGAGAUGUGCAGUCAAAUGUUCAUUCUAUUUGUGAAAGCAGCAAAUAAAGAUUCUUCAAAA